GUUUUGAUCGGUAGCACAUAUUCUAAAAUUGGAACAAUACAGAGAAGAUUAGCAUGGCCCAUGCAUAAGAGUGACGCACAAAUUCAUAAAGCAUUUUUUUUUU